rnacentral:lncRNA from 1 species
CUUGACUCUGGAGUUGUAGUAUUGGGCCGUUCGCUGUUGGUAUCUUGCCAUACGAACCCGGGCGACCUCUCGUGUCUCUUCAACGAGGUCCAAAUUGCUCCUGAGCUGGGAGGAAUUGGUGUCAGGGUCGUAGUGCUCCACCCUUGGAGAAGGAAGGCCGAUCUCUAGCGGGAUGACGGCUUCAGUGCCGUAUGCUAGGUUGAAGGGAGUCUCUCCCGUGGGCAGUCGGAAAGUAGUCCGGUACGCCCAAAGGACAUUGUACAAGUCCUCGACCCACUGUCCUUUGGACCGAUCAAGCCUAGCCUUGAGUCCCUACAAAAUAGU